GACGAACGCUGGCGGCGUGCUUAACACAUGCAAGUCGAACGGGCCUGUCUUCUUUUUUGGGGGGUGGGUUGAGUGGCGAACGGGUGAGUAUCACGUGAGUAACCUGCCCUUCGGUCCUGGAUAACCGCUUGAAAGGGCGGCUAAUACGGGGUGGUCCGGUUGGUCCGCAUGGGCUGGUCGGGAUAGAUUCACUGUUUUUGGUGUUUCGGCGGGGGAUGGGCUCGCGGCCUAUCAGCUUGUUGGUGGGGUGAUGGCCUACCAAGGCGGUGACGGGUAGCCGACCUGAGAGGGUGGGCGGCCACACUGGGACUGAGAUACGGCCCAGACUCCUGCGGGAGGCAGCAGUGGGGGGUAUUGCACAAUGGGCGGAAGCCUGAUGCAGCGACGUCGCGUGAGGGAUGGAGGCCUUCGGGUUGUGAACCUCUGUUUCCGGUGGUGAAGGCCCUGUCCGUGUGGUGGGGUUGACGGUAGCCGGGGAUGAAGCGCCGGCUAACUACGUG
rnacentral:rRNA from 1 species